CAUCUAUAUUGGAAAGACUUCAAAUUGUUCCAUUGGUCCUUUCCCCUGUUAGAUAAUAAUAUUCAUUAGGGCACAGAGUUUAUCUAUUUUACGUACAGUUGUUCUCACAGCCUAAAAUGGUGAGCCCCUUAUACAGUUGAUAGUUUGGUGAAUGAGUGUUCUGCCUAUUUGGUAAUACUGUGUUCCAAUAACUAAAAGUUCUGGUUGGGCAAACUGUCAUCAGUGUUCUAUUUUAUUUUAAAAUAUUUAAUUGACUAUAUGAGGUUCAGGUGAAGUGUACAGUCAGUACAUGUAUACAGUGUACAAUGAUCAAAUCAGAAUAAUUAGCAUAUCCAUGACCUCAAAUACAUAUCAAAAAUUUGUGUUGGGAACACUUAAAAUCCUUUCUUGUAGGUAUUUUGGAGUAUACGUCAAAUUAUUAUUAACUCUAGUCACCAUACUGUACUAUAGAAUAUUAAAACAUAUUCCUCCUGUGUAACUGUAUUUUUAUACCUUAUAGUCAACCUGUCUCUGUUCUUUUCUCCCCUCCUCUCUUCUGUACUUCUGUGAGACCAACUUACUUAGUCUCCACAUAUGAAUGUGAACAUGAGGAAUUUGUCUUUGUGUUAGCUUUUUGUCAGUGUGACAAAUACCUGAGAAAAACAACUUUGAGGAGGAAAACUUUAUUUUGGCUCUCAAUUUCAUAGGUCCAUGGUCAGCCCCAUUGCUUUGAACCUAAAUGGAAGUAGAAACCUUGGGAGAAGGACAUAGCAGAGGAAAGCUGCCACCUGGUGGCAGCCAGGAAACAAGAAGAAAGGAGGAAGGUACUGGGGACAAGAUACACUCUGCCAGGGCACAUCCUCAGUGACCUACUUCUUACAACUAGCCCCCAUUUCCUACAGUUUCUACCACCUCCCAAUAAUGCCAUCAAAUUAUUAAUUCACUAAUCCAUUGAUGAGAUUAGGGCCCUCUUGAUCCAGUCACCUCCCAAGAGCCCUAUCUCUGAACACUGCUGUACUGAGGGCCAUGCCUUCAACACAGGAGCUUUGGAGAAUAUUUCAUAUCCAAACCAUAAUAG
rnacentral:lncRNA from 1 species